GUCCACGCCGUAAACGAUGGGUGCUAGGUGUGGGGGUGUCGACUCCCCCGUGCCGCAGCUAACGCAUUAAGCACCCCGCCUGGGGAGUACGGCCGCAAGGCUAAAACUCAAAGGAAUUGACGGGGCCCCGCACAAGCAGCGGAGCAUGUGGUUUAAUUCGAUGCAACGCGAAGAACCUUACCAGGGCUUGACAUGGUCGGGAAAGCUGUAGAAAUACGGCCCUCCUUCGGGACUCGAUCACAGGUGGUGCAUGGCUGUCGU
rnacentral:rRNA from 1 species